ensembl:snRNA U4 U4 spliceosomal RNA
AGCUUUGUGCAGUGGCAGUAUUGUAACCUAAGAGGUUUAGCCGAGGUGUUAUUAUUGCUAGUUGAAAACUUGUUUUCACACUGC